rnacentral:rRNA from 1 species
UACGUAGGGUGCGAGCGUUAAUCGGAAUUACUGGGCGUAAAGCGUGCGCAGGCGUUUUUGUAAGCCAGAUGUGAAAUCCCCGGGCUUAACCUGGGAAUGGCAUUUGGGACUGCAAGGCUUGAGUGCGGCAGAGGAGACUGGAAUUCCUGGUGUAGCAGUGAAAUGCGUAGAUAUCAGGAGGAACACCGAUGGCGAAGGCAGGUCUCUGGGCUGACACUGACGCUCAUGCACGAAAGCGUGGGGAGCAAACAGG